GACGAACGCUGGCGGCGUGCUUAACACAUGCAAGUCGAACGAAGUGGCGGACGGGUGAGUAACGCGUAAUCAACCUGCUCUUCAGAGGGGGACAACAGUUGGACACGACUACUAAUACCGCAUACUGAAGGAGGGGAUUGCGUCUGAUUAGCUAGUUGGAGGGGUAACGGCCCACCAAGGCGAUGAUCAGUAGCCGGUCUGAGAGGGUGAACGGCCACAUUGGGACUGAGACACGGCCCAGACUCCUACGGGAGGCAGCAGUGGGGAAUCUUCCGCAAUGGGCGGAAGUCUGACGGAGCAACGCCGCGUGAGUGAUGAAGGCCUUCGGGUUGUAAAGCUCUGUUAAUCGGGACGCGGUACCUGACUAGAAAGCCACGGCUAACUACGUGCCAGCAGCCGCGGUAAUUC
rnacentral:rRNA from 1 species